AUUGAACGCUGGCGGCAUGCCUUACACAUGCAAGUCGAACGGCAGCACGGGAGCAAUCCUGGUGGCGAGUGGCGAACGGGUGAGUAAUGUAUCGGAACGUGCCCAGUCGUGGGGGAUAACGCAGCGAAAGCUGUGCUAAUACCGCAUACGCUCUAUGGAUGAAAGCGGGGGAUCGCAAGACCUCGCGCGAUUGGAGUGGCCGAUAUCAGAUUAGCUAGUUGGUGGGGUAAAAGCUUACCAAGGCGACGAUCUGUAGCUGGUCUGAGAGGGCGACCAGCCACACUGGAACUGAGACACGGUCCAGACUCCUACGGGAGGCAGCAGUGGGGAAUUUUGGACAAUGGGCGCAAGCCUGAUCCAGCAAUGCCGCGUGCAGGAUGAAGGCCUUCGGGUUGUAAACUGCUUUUGUACGGAGCGAAAAGGCUCUCUCUAAUACAGGGGGCUCAUGACGGUACCGUAAGAAUAAGCACCGGCUAACUACGUGCCAGCCGCCGCCGUAA
rnacentral:rRNA from 1 species